rnacentral:rRNA from 1 species
CCUACGGGAGGCAGCAGUGGGGAAUAUUGGACAAUGGGCGCAAGCCUGAUCCAGCCACGCCGCGUGAGUGAUGAAGGCCUUCGGGUUGUAAAGCUCUGUGGAGAGGGACGAAUAAGUGUGGUCGAAUAGGCCGCAUGAUGACGGUACCUUUUUAGCAAGCACCGGCUAACUCUGUGCCAGCAGCCGCGGUAAGACAGAGGGUGCAAACGUUGUUCGGAAUUACUGGGCGUAAAGCGCGUGUAGGCUGCUUGGAAAGUCGGAUGUGAAAGCCCUGGGCUCAACCUAGGAAGUGCAUUCGAAACUUCCAAGCUCGAGUUUCGGAGAGGAAGGCGGAAUUCCCGGUGUAGUGGUGGAAUGCGUAGAGAUCGGGAGGAACCUCGAAAGCGAAGGCAGCCGGCUAAACGAUGAUUGACGCUGAGGGACGAUAGCGUGGGUAGCAAACAGGAUUAGAUACCCUGGUAGUCCACGCCGUAAACGAUGUGUGCUCGGUGUGUGUGGGUAAAACCAUGCGCGCCUCAGCCAACGCGAUAAGCACACCGCCUGGGGAGUACGACCGCAAGGUUAAAACUCAAAGGAAUUGACGG